rnacentral:rRNA from 1 species
GACGAACGCUGGCGGCGUGCUUAACACAUGCAAGUCGAACGGAAAGGCCUGCUUUCCCUUGUGGAUUGCGGGUACUCGCGUGGCGAACGGGUGAGUAACACGUGAGUGAUCUGCCCCCAACUUGGGUAUAAGCCUGGGAAACUGGGUCUAAUUCCCGAUAGGACUGCAGGGUGGUGCCUGUGGUGGAAAACGAUUUUCUAGUGGUUGGGGAUGAGCUCGCGGCCUAUCAGCUUGUUGGUGGGGUAAUGGCCUACCAAGGCGGCGACGGGUAGCCGGCCUGAGAGGGUGGACGGCCACAUUGGGACUGAGAUACGGCCCAGACUCCUACGGGAGGCAGCAGUGGGGAAUAUUACACAAUGGGCGGAAGCCUGAUGCAGCGACGCCGCGUGGGGGAUGACGGCCUUCGGGUUGUAAACUCCUUUCGACCGCGAGGAAGCCACCUGGUUGGAAGGGUGGUGACGGUAGUGGUAGAAGAAGCACCGGCUAACUACGUG